CUUUGGAGCAAAGUGCCUCACCUUCGAUUAUUUCCUCUUUCAUUUUCUGUAGCUCCUUCCGCACCUCUUCCAGAAGCUCCUGAAAAGAACCAACCAUGAGGAUUAGAAGACUGAAGCUUCCAAGCCUUUCCUAGAACCAUUCUGGACCCAGAGGGGCAAGCAAGGACAAGCUACAGUUCACGCUGUGCCACUCAACAGCACCCAUUCCUACCAAUUCCAGACAGUUUGAAAAGUUAAAGGGUCUGCAAGAUGGCUCAGCUUGCCACCAACCCGAUCACCUGACUUGAUCCCAAGGACACAUGUAAAGGUAGGAGAACUGAAUCCUGCAGCUUGCCCUGUAACACACACACACACACACACACACACACACACACACACACUGACUAAAUACAUAACUUUAAAAAGAGGCAGGCAGAUCUGUUCAAAGCCCACCUGGGCUACACAGUAGGACUCUGUCUUAAAAAACAGAAACAGAUGGGAAGAGCAUGGCACAAGCCUGUAAUCCCAGUAUCCGAGAGGGAGGAAAAUCUAAGCUCCAGCCCAGCUGGGACAGAGAAGAGCAACAAUAACAAAAAUCCAGGUUAGGGCCAGCGAGAUGGCUCAGUAAGGAAGGAUGCUUGCUGCCAAGCCAAGAACCUUGAGUUCCAUUCCUGGAACCCAUGUGGCAGGAGAGAAAUGGCUCCUCCCAGGUGCCCUGGCACACUCACUUAAAUAAAUAAAAUUAAAUAACCUAAACACAUAUGUAUGUAUUCCAUCCAGCUCAGAGACUGCACUUCUGGAAUUAGUUGGAGGACCCCACAUGUUCCACAUCCGGGAAUUGUAAGAACUAUACGGGUGAGAAGGGGUCUAGGUCAGCAAGCCGAGUCUUUAGAGUCUAAGCUUUCAGCUGUCAUCACUCGGGGCUGCCACCAAGGACACACGAACACUCGGACACUCGUGCAGAUAUAUCACCCCAGCACCUGGGAGGCUGAGACAGGAGGAUCUGAAGUUCAGCCUGGGCUAGGCAGGAGAGGGAAGGAAGAGAGAGGACAGGGAGAGGAGGGGCACGGCCAGCACGCUGACAGCCUACCCCAAAAUGGAAGCCUGUGCUGACCUGAGUGGAUUCAGGCUUACCUCCGGGCCAGCAUGGCAUUCAUCUCUUCCAUCAGCCCCCCACCAGUGCUUCGACUACUCUCAGCUUUGGGGGCCAGCGGGCCCCCAGAGGCCUCCUCCUGCUGAAGGAAUGAAAAGGGGGAGAGGGCUUCAAAGGGCCCAGCCACUCCCAGCCACUCACCUUGCUCACUUUCCUGAGUUUGGCUCCAGCAAUAGCAGCAGCAAGGCCUGGGGCCGCAGAACCCCCGC